rnacentral:rRNA from 1 species
UACGUAGGGUGCGAGCGUUGUCCGGAAUUACUGGGCGUAAAGAGCUCGUAGGUGGUUUGUCGCGUUGUUCGUGAAAACUCACAACUCAAUUGUGGGCGUGCGGGCGAUACGGGCAGACUGGAGUACUGCAGGGGAGACUGGAAUUCCUGGUGUAGCAGUGAAAUGCGUAGAUAUCAGGAGGAAUACCGAUGGCGAAGGCAGGUCUCUGGGCUGACACUGACGCUCAUGCACGAAAGCGUGGGGAGCAAACAGG